rnacentral:rRNA from 1 species
UACAGAGGUCCCAAGCGUUACUGAGAAUCACUGGGUUUAAAGGGUGCGUAGGUGGUCCGUUAAGUCAGUUGUGAAAUCCCCGGGCUCAACCCGGGAAAUGCUUCUGAUACUGGCGGACUUGAGGCCAGUAGGGGUCACUAGAACUGACGGUGGAGCGGUGAAAUGCGUAGAUAUCGUCAGGAAUGCCGGUGGUGAAGACGGGUGACUGGGCUGGUUCUGACGCUGAGGCACGAAAGCGUGGGGAGCGAACGGG